rnacentral:rRNA from 1 species
AGAGUUUGAUCCUGGCUCAGGAUGAACGCUAGCUACAGGCUUAACACAUGCAAGUCGAGGGGCAGCAUUAUCAAAGCUUGCUUUGAAAGAUGGCGACCGGCGCACGGGUGAGUAACGCGUAUCCAACCUACCCUCCAGCAGGGGGUAGCCCGUAGAAAUGCGGAUUAAUACCCUAUGCGGUCGUUUUGUGGCAUCAUGUUACGACCAAAGACUCGUCGCUGGCGGAUGGGGAUGCGUAUGAUUAGGUAGUAGGCGGGGUAACGGCCCACCUAGCCGUCGAUCAUUAGGGGUUCUGAGAGGAAGGUCCCCCACACUGGUACUGAGACACGGACCAGACUCCUACGGGAGGCAGCAGUGAGGAAUAUUGGUCAAUGGGCGGAAGCCUGAACCAGCCAAGUAGCGUGCAGGAUGACGGCCCUACGGGUUGUAAACUGCUUUUAUGCGGGGAUAAACGACGGCACGCGUGCCGUUUUGCAGGUACCGCAUGAAUAAGGACCGGCUAAUUCCGUGCCAGCAGCCGCGGUAAUACGGAAGGUCCGGGCGUUAUCCGGAUUUAUUGGGUUUAAAGGGAGCGUAGGCCGGAUGCUAAGCGUGCCGUGAAAUGCAUGUGCUCAACAUAUGCACUGCGGCGCGAACUGGUGUUCUUGAGUGCGCUGAAAGUGGGCGGAAUUCGUGGUGUAGCGGUGAAAUGCUUAGAUAUCACGAGGAACUCCGAUUGCGAAGGCAGCUCGCUGUAGCGUAACUGACGCUGAUGCUCGAAAGCGCGGGUAUCGAACAGGAUUAGAUACCCUGGUAGUCCGCGCGGUAAACGAUGGAUGCCCGCUGUUUGCCAUUAUGGUAAGCGGCCAAGCGAAAGCGUUAAGCAUCCCACCUGGGGAGUACGCCGGCAACGGUGAAACUCAAAGGAAUUGACGGGGGCCCGCACAAGCGGAGGAACAUGUGGUUUAAUUCGAUGAUACGCGAGGAACCUUAUCCGGGCUUGAACUGCAGGAGAACGAUUCAGAGAUGAUGAGGUCCUUCGGGACUCCUGUGGAGGUGCUGCAUGGUUGUCGUCAGCUCGUGCCGUGAGGUGUCGGCUUAAGUGCCAUAACGAGCGCAACCCUUGCGCGUAGUUGCCAUCAGGUUAUGCUGGGCACUCUGCGCGGACUGCCACCGCAAGGUGUGAGGAAGGUGGGGAUGACGUCAAAUCAGCACGGCCCUUACGUCCGGGGCUACACACGUGUUACAAUGGGUGGUACAGAGAGCCGGCCGCAUGCAAAUGCGGUCCAAUCCUUAAAGCCGUCCUCAGUUCGGAUUGGGGUCUGCAACCCGACCCCAUGAAGCUGGAUUCGCUAGUAAUUGCGCAUCAGCCAUGGCGCGGUGAAUACGUUCCCGGGCCUUGCACACACCGCCCGUCAAG